rnacentral:rRNA from 1 species
UACGAAGGGGGCUAGCGUUGCUCGGAAUCACUGGGCGUAAAGCGCACGUAGGCGGCUUUUUAAGUCAGGGGUGAAAUUCUGGAGCUCAACUCCAGAACUGCCUUUGAUACUGAGAAGCUUGAGUCCGGGAGAGGUGAGUGGAACUGCGAGUGUAGAGGUGAAAUUCGUAGAUAUUCGCAAGAACACCAGUGGCGAAGGCGGCUCACUGGCCCGGUACUGACGCUGAGAUGCGAAAGCGUGGGGAGCAAACAGG